UCAAACUGAUUCCGAAGAAUACAUGCGAUACAUCAAGGAUCCAUAUAAGUAUGACACAAAUGUACCUCCAGAAUAAGGGCAUUGGUCUUCCUUGGUCAAUGAAAGGUCUCUGCGCCAGUUUAUGCUUCCUUUAUAUAAUAUUUUGCGAAUAAAGGUAUUUGAUGCCGGGAUUUAAUGGUUUCAUCUUUUAUUAUUUAUUUAUGAUAAGUUUUGAUUAACAUAUGAAUCACGGUGUUUAUUGGACUGUGGGUUGCUUAUAUCAGAUUAUCUUUAAGUUUUUCUGAGUGUGCGGUUGAAACAUGAUGGAUCGGUUAUUGAUUAAAUUAUAUAAUUAAUCUAUUAAGAUCACUGUAUGUUUAGAUUAUUUACUAUGUUAUUUGGAUUGAAAUAUUGAGAAUUCUUAGGAAGUUGUUAAAUCUAUUGUGUAUCCUAUGGGUUGAUUUAUCAUGAAUUAGAUUGUGUGAUAAUUAUGAAAUCUACUUUAUUUUGA